UUUGUACACAGACAGAUAGCGCACACAACAUAAAACCCCCCUCCCCUCUCGCCUUCUUCUUCGUCUUCUUCUUCUUCUCUCUCUAAAAACAUCUCCGCCAACAGACCCAACACCACCCUAUGCUUCCUCUCCCCAUUGUUCUCUCUCUACUGUAUUGUGUUAGGGUUUCUCUGUUUUCUCUCUUUCUCUCUCUAGAAGAAUACUGAGGUUUGUUUGUUCGUCGUCUUCUCUCUCUCUCUCUCUCUCUCUACAAAUCUUCACUGUUUGGUUGAAGGAGUACUAAAGUCUCUCUCUAAUGGCGACUGCUCCGGUGAAGUCUCAGCCUCUUCACAACUUCUCUCUUUCCUUCUUAAAAUGGGGCCACAAGAACCAGAUGAACUCCAACCACCGCUUCCGCCGCCCCUCCGACACGAUGCUCUGGGACUCUCCUCCGCCGCAGGCGGUGGAGAACCACCGCUCGUCACCGUCGGAGCAGGAGUCGGACGGCGGUGGUGGUUCUGGUUUCAAGAAUGAGUCGGAGAACCCGAAGGUUGGGGUCGGAUCGCGGAGUGCGCAGAGGAACCGGUUUUCAUUCGCGUCCUGUUCGUUGCAGAAGCAACAAGCGACGGUUUUUGAGAACGAGGAGGAUGUUGAGAGAGAGAAGGAGAAGGUAUGGAACGACGUCGUUGAAGGCGAUGAAUCGGUGGCGAAGCCGUGGAAUCUGAGGCCGAGGAAGGUUGUUUCGAAGGCUGCGGUUGAGAUCGGAGGGGUUUCGAGGAAUGGAGAAUUUCAGGAAUCGGCGCAGCAGCAGCAGACUGACAACUUGCCGAAAUCGAUGAGGUUGAGAGGCUUCGUUGAAGGUCAGGGAUCGGAGAAGAGGAAGUUCUGGAUCGCUCUGUCUCGCGAAGAGAUUGAAGAAGAUGUGUACGCGAUGACUGGUUCCAGACCAGCUCGGAGGCCCAAGAAAAGGCCAAAAACUGUUCAAAAACAAGUCGAUAAUGUUUUUCCUGGCUUGUAUUUGGCUGGCGUUUCUGCGGAUUAUUAUCGAGUUCAUGAAGCUCUGAGGUAGAUAAUGAGACCACUAGAUGCUACCGAAUUCUUGAUCUCUCUCUCUCUCUCUCACCGGAAAUGAGAUAAAAACGAGGAUACUCACAAACAAUUGGAGGUUGGAUGGGUUGUUUCUGCUACAUUUAGGGCUCAAUUAGAGGCUUCCCGACUUUGUUUGGGGGCAGAGCUUAUGCUUUUGCGAACCUGAAAUGAAUUCAGAAAUAUUAUUGGAGGCGCUGCAUGCUUCCUUGUUUUGGAUGGACACGUCCACCAAUUUAGCUUGGUCAAGCGGUGCUCGUAUUAAGGUUGAGAGAUAUAUGUUGGCUUACAUGCUUUGCUCCCUUUCUAUGUCGUGGUAGUAAUUGAUUUAUAAUUGUGGCUAUGUUUUUGCGUUAUCUUCAGUAAUUAGAUUUUAGCAACUUAGUAGUGUUCUUAACAAUUGUAAUGCUUCUUGUAGUAUCAUUCAAGCAUAUGGGCAUGUAUAUGUUAAAAAAAUUCACAGAUGAUUUUACUUUUUUUGUCAGACCUGGAACAAACCCAUUAGUCUAAAUUACUGGAACUCUGAGCGACCAUGGGGAAGUUUUAAUGGUUCUGUCUCAUGUAGUGAAGUUAUGAUAUUUUUCUUCAUGCUGAGGUUA